rnacentral:lncRNA from 1 species
AGCAGAGGAGAGACUUCUGGUGUGAAGAGCAGAGCGAUCCUGAACACUAGGCUGGUUGGUUUGAUCUGGUGGACACCAACACAAAUCCAGUCCCUCAUAAGCUAGAGCGCUUCCAUGUACAGAAUAGUAUGCAGCCUUCUGCAGUUCACCCAUGAAGCCAUGUCAUGAGGAAGAACUAGAAUUCCCAACAAGUGUUGAGUGUAUGCAAGCAGCCUUAAAGGAUUACGACUCCUACUCUACAGCGAUGAGGAAUUAUGAGCACCCCAUCAAAGUCUAAUAAAUAUUGAUAGACUUUAAUGAAGGACACUGGAACUAGGGAGAAUCCAACAGACUCUGUACCCAUUAAGGAAGCCAAAUGACAUUUAAGACAAGCGCGACUCUGAAGAAAUGCUUUUUGAACUCGUUAAUUCUUGAGGAGAGGCAGAGGCUGUAAGCAGAGCUUUAAAUAAGAGUUUGAUAGAUGAAUGUAACAGGCUUAAAGGAAAGACAAAUAGACAAAUGACUCCCCCCUCCACGUGGUCUGACAGCUACUGUUCUGCAUGGGCAUGCAGUCCCUCUGGUGACAAGGAGCUCCUGUUGAAACUGCUGUCACCAUGGGCUGAAUAUAUUGAAGCCUAACCCCCAGCACUUCAGAAUGCAACCACAUGUGAUGACAGCAUGCCUACAGAGGUGAUUAAGGUAAAAUGAGGUCAUUAGGAUGGACCCUAAUCCAGCAUGACGAAUAUCCUGCUAAUAAGGGUAAACUUGGACACAGACACAGAGAAGGAAGAUGGUGCAAAGACAAAGGGAGAAGAUGGCCAUUUUCUUUUCUUUAUUUUUUCUUUUUUUUAAGGACCACACCUGUGGCAUAUGGAGGUUCCCGGGCUAGGGGUCAAAUCGGAGCUAUAGCAGCCCAUGUAUGCCAUAGCCAUGGCAAUGCCAGAUCUGAGGCACAUCUGCAACCGAUGCUGCAGCUUGUGGCAAGCUGGAUUCUUAACCCACUGAGCGAGGUCAGGGAUUGAACCAGCAUCCUCAGGGAUACUAGUCGGGUUCAUUACCACCAGGCCUCAACAGGAACUCCAAGAUGGCCGUGUUUAAGCCAAGGAGCAAGGCCUGGAGCAGAUCCUCCCACCAUGGCCCUCACAAGGAACCAGCCCAGAGGUCACCUUGAUCUUGGACUUUCAGCCUCCAGAAUUGUGAGAUGAUACAUUUCUGCUGUUCAAGCCCCCCCAUUCUGUGGUACGGUUAUAGUGCCCCAAGCUGACUAAUGUAGUCGUAACACAUAUCUUUAUUUCAUUUACUUAACAAACACCUAUAUAGAGCUUACUAGAGGCCAGGCAUGCUUUAUGCCCUUUAUGAAUAUUGAUUUAAUCCUCACAACAGCUCUAGGAGGUAGGGACUCUGGUCCCCAUUUUACAGAUGGCAUAACCAAAGCAUGUGGAGAUUAAGUACCCUGCCCAAAGUCUCCUACUUGGUUAGUAAAGGAGGUAGGAUAGGAAUCUGGGCAGCCUGACUCAAGUCCGUGUGCUGAAACCCCACUCCACACCAGCUCUUCUUUUGUCUCCUAGGAUUUAAACAGGGGUUCCAAAUACAGGUUAAAAUGUGAAAACGUGUCUCUACUGUGUGUGUGUGUGUGUGUGUGUGUUUAAAUCUAAUGCCACAGCAUCCCUUGCUGCCAAGCAGACAGAAUUCACAUUUCAUAAUGUUUUUCUAGAUUUUUAAACCUCACAUCAAGGAAAACAAUCCCAGAUUCCUGCAAAAUAUUUGCUGCUCUUUCAUGAGAGGCAGACCAUCAGCCUCCUGAGGCUUUGGCUCGGCAAUUCUUACUUACCUGGCAACAUUCCAUAGAGCUCUGAGGGGAGCGAUGUUGUCUUCUCUGCUGGCCUGCAGAUAACUUCUAAUUUAGCAGAACGUGAAGAACUGCAUGAAAGACAGGGCUCUGCCAGCACAGCACAGGGUGGAGGCAGAGGGCUUUUGUGACGGUGCCCUGGGCUGUCAAUGGACCAUCAUCCAUCACACGUGCAGCUGCUUAACAUCGACGUGCGAGAAAAAUCUUUCUACAAAAUCAACCAGAGGAGCCACAUUUAAUUACUGAACAUUUUAGAAGGGGAGAACCUGGGGGGGGGGGGGGAUCACUGCAGGGACAGGAGGAACUCUUCAUCCUAGGCCAGAAAAGCAAGGGUUUUGAAGCUUCGUGUUGUCCUGGUGGCAUUUUCCAUGAGGAGCAUCAGAAGCUGGGUCUCAGAGUGGUGGGGAGAGUUAAUUCCUUUCUAGUUAUUAAAGGGAAGGAAAGUACACAUGUCCAACCUGUUCAACACACACCGUGCCACACGCUUUCCCACACCCUACCCUUGAGAGUUUCAAGUUGAAAGGCUUUGUUUGCAGUCCUUCGUUGCUCAGAGUCUUGAGUGGAGGCGCCAGAAACACACCUCUUUACUCUUUCCCAUUUCAGCUGACUCACCCGGGGCCUUAAUGGAGGUGACCGUGAGAGGCCGAGGUAGGGCAUCAGAGGCCCAGGUGGUGCCAGCAAAAGUUUAGACCUCCAUGAAUCAACAUACUUAGUGAUGGAAAAGAUAGCGCGUGGGAAGGACGUCCUAGUUUACAUACGUUUGGGAGCUUUUCCCUUCCCUCAAGAUGAUACUGGAACCCGAGUUAUACAAUGAGCAUCUUGGGAAACGGCGAGCAACAGGGGCUUUUUCAACUCUGACCGAGGAGAGAAAGAGAGGAAAGAAAGCCAAAGUAUGAGUGGCGAGAAGGGGGCAGUGGCCUGUGACCUCUCCUAUACCAUUUCCUCUCAUGUCCAGUGAAAAGCUUGGUUUCUUUAAAAUGAUCUGUGUGGUUUUCUAUCCUGUUCUAAUAGGAGGCAAUGACAAUUUUUUUUUUCCCCUCAAGUUAUCUCUGAUAUUUCCAAACAGGCCCCAGUCCCAGAAUUUCCACGGCAGAGAAAUCCUAAGCAAGCUUGUUGGCAAGUCUCUCCUGUUGAUCUGGGAGCUGCUCUGCCCCAGGUGUUCUAAUGUUGACAUGCGCUGAGGGAAGGCAACUUAGAACACCUGAGAACAAAAGGAGAAAAACAUUAUGAAACGUGAUUUCUACCUGGGAUAUGCCAGAUAGGAAGGAAACAAGUCUUUUGUAAGGAAGCAGGUCUCAGCCUGAAUCUCAGUGCUCCAAUAAAGAAUGCCAAGAGGGUGGUGGUGGUAGUGAUGGUGGUGCUGGUGCUGGUACUGGUGGUGGCUGGUGGUGAUGGUAGUACUGGUGGUGGUGGUGAUGGUGGUGGCUGGUGGUACUGGUGAUGAUGACAGUGGUGCUGGUGGUGGCUGGUGGUGGUGGUGCUGGUGUGGGUGCUAGUGGUGCCACUAGUGCUGGUGGUACAGAAAGAGGGAUAAGAAUUUCUGAAUGAGAACACCUGGCUCUAGAGAAGUAGCCUGAUGCAUUGCCACUAGGUACCAGCACUAUCGAACCCGUGGCAGGGUCGUGGCUCAUUCUGGUGUGGUCCAUUCACUUCAGGCAAACAUAAAAGCAAGGUCAGAUCCACCCACAUCAAGACUGUGAGAAAACUUCAUGAGAAGCCAGGGAACUGGGAAACAUUUCUAUAGAUGAAAGCUUUGUAGAUUUGUGAUAUCUUUGGAGAUGUGCUAGAGGAUGAAAUUAUAGGUAAGGUCAAAACUGGGUUCAGCUUCUUCCCUGGGUAGUUUAACUCACAUUAAAGGCUUUGGAGAGUUCUAGUUCUUUGCGUCAUGCUGAAGACAAAAAAAAAAAAAAAAGUUGCAAACUGCCUUCCACCCCAAACUGAAGUUCUUUAUCACUCGUUUACAGAGAUACCAUGACAACGUAGCAGGUAGCUUUAUGCUCCUUCAGGUCCUUCUGACUUGAAUAGCAACAUUGCUAGUUUAUCAUUUCAAGUUAAGUCAGGCAAUACCUGCUAUGCAGGAUUUCUAAGCAAAAUGAUUUACUGCAAGAAACUAUCAAUUGCCUGUCUGCCUUGGUGGCUGUAAAUAGAUUGUCAAAAACCAGAUAUGUGAAAGGAAAAUAUUUGUGAAAUAAAAUCAGAGUUUCUGCUCCCUCCA